AGCUCAGCCAGAGUGCUCCGGUCUGUGUCCUUAGGGCUCCGGAGGUGCAGGUGAUGGGAUAAACUGAUUGGCACACAGCAGGGAUACUGUGGCUGCUGAAUGGACUAUUAUGAUAAGAAACGGAGUGAGUGGAAUGGUACCACAGCACAGAGGGAGCCAACAGCAUCAGACUUGUCCUUGACAGGCAUGCCUGGCUUCAGAUCUGCCAUGAAGAGCCAGGACGUGGCAGGAUCCAGGAUGCUCUGGUCUCAUCCUUAGCCCAGCUUUGAACACACUGCUUGGACAGGCUUCUCCUGCCUAAGAUUUGACAACUGUUCAGGGACAAGACUGAGCAAACACAUCAGAGGCAGGAGGAUUGCUUCCAGCUGCUGAGACCAGGCAGGCCUCCAGGACACGCACUGUCUUCUGCCAUUCACCCCCAUCGAUGAAGAACGACCUCCCAAGACUUCAAAGGACUCUGGAACUAAGCUGAUAACAGAGCAACUGGAGAGCCCCUCCCCAGCUAUGUUCCUUGGAGUACUUCAGCAUUGACUGUGUGUAGGAAUUAGGAUCUCUGUUGUGCCCCCUCCUCAGGGUGUGUGUGUGCACUUGCACACACACAGAUACACAACUACUAUUGUGCAUAUGUGGAGGUCAGAGGACAACAUGGUAUCAAAACUGGCUUUCCAGCUGUCUCUCUUGUUUGUUCUUUUCGGCUAUGUACCCAAGGCUAGUCAGCCUGCAAGAGCCAGCCAUUCUUCCCUCUUUGCCUCCCGUCCUAGCAGAUGGUGCUCAGAUUACAGCCACUGAUGCUACUGUGUCCAACCUUUACCUAGGUUCAGGGGAUCUAAACUCAGGUUGUAAAGCCUGACACUGUAUUAUUUAUGGUUGAAUACAAUUCCAUUGUGUCUAUGUAUCACACUUCCACUGUCUGGUUGAUGGAUACUGCAACACGGUGCAGCAACCAGCUCGGGUGUUUCUGUGAUGUUCUCAGCUUCGCCUGGGUGCUCUCCCAGGGCAGUUCUAGUUUCAGAGGACCUCUUCCAGAGGACCUGAGUUCAAUUCUCAGCAACCACAUGGUGGCUCAUGACCAUCUGUAAUGGCUUUCAGGAGUACAUGCAGAUAAAGCGCUC
rnacentral:lncRNA from 1 species